rnacentral:rRNA from 1 species
UACGGAGGGUGCGAGCGUUGUCCGGAAUCAUUGGGCGUAAAGAGCUCGUAGGCGGUCUGUCGCGUCGGCUGUGAAAACCUGGGGCUCAACUCCGGGCCUGCAGCCGAUACGGGCAGACUAGAAUUCGGUAGGGGAGACUGGAAUUCCUGGUGUAGCGGUGAAAUGCGCAGAUAUCAGGAGGAACACCGGUGGCGAAGGCGGGUCUCUGGGCCGAUACUGACGCUGAGGAGCGAAAGCGUGGGGAGCGAACAGG